CAGCCGCCGCGGUAAAACCAGCACCUCAAGUGGUCAGGAUGAUUAUUGGGCCUAAAGCAUCCGUAGCCGGCUCUGUAAGUUUUCGGUUAAAUCUGUACGCUCAACGUACAGGCUGCCGGGAAUACUGCAGAGCUAGGGAGUGGGAGAGGUAGACGGUACUCGGUAGGAAGGGGUAAAAUCCUUUGAUCUAUUGAUGACCACCUGUGGCGAAGGCGGUCUACCAGAACACGUCCGACGGUGAGGGAUGAAAGCUGGGGGAGCAAACCGGAUUAGUUACCCGGGUAGUCCCAGCUGUAAACUAUGCAAACUCAGUGAUGCAUUGGCUUGUGGCCAAUGCAGUGCUGCAGGGAAGCCGUUAAGUUUGCCGCCUGGGAAGUACGUACGCAAGUAUGAAACUUAAAGGAAUUGGCGGGGGAGCAC
rnacentral:rRNA from 2 species